GGUGGCUUAGUGGUAGAGUGUUUGCCUUGCAUGCAUGAGACCCUGGGUUCGAUUCCUCAGCACCA
rnacentral:tRNA from 1 species